CAAACGGGUGAGUAACACGUGGGAAUCUGCCCAAGAGUGGGGAAUAACAGCUCGAAAGAGUUGCUAAUACCGCAUACGGUCGAAAGACUAAAGGAGCAAUCCGCUUUUGGAGGAGCCUGCGGCUGAUUAGCUAGUUGGUGGGGUAAAAGCCUACCAAGGCCAUGAUCAGUAGCUGGUCUGAGAGGAUGGUCAGCCACACUGGGACUGAGAAACGGCCCAG
rnacentral:rRNA from 1 species